GGUUGAUCCUGCCAGUAGUCAUAUGCUUGUGUUAAAGAUUAAGCCAUGCAUGCCUUAGUAUAGGUGGAUAAAUAACCGAGACUGCGGAUGGCUCAAUAAAUCAGUCAUAAUUAGUUUGGUGAAGCGAGGAAAGAGAAGGAUAACCCUGUUAAUUGUAGAGCUAAUACAAGAAGAAGAUAUUUCUGUUUAACAGAACGGGAAUAGCGUUUAUCAGCUCGAUCUUUGCGGCGUGAGCCGUGGAGAAGGGAAAAGUAACUAACGAAGAGUUUACUGCCAGGAACCACUGCAAUAA
rnacentral:rRNA from 1 species